UAAUAUCAAGUUUGGAACUGCGAAUGGCUCAUUAUAUCAGUUAUAGUUUAUUUGGUGAAGUGUACUACUUGGAUAACCGUAGUAAUUCUAGGGCUAAUACAUGAGAAAGUCCUCUGGUGAGGUGUGUUUAUUAGAAUGAAAACCAUAUGCUUCGGCAUGAUAGUGAGUAAUAGUAACCUAUCGUAUCGCAUGCUUAAUGUAGCGAUGAGUCUUUCAAGUUUCUGCCCUAUCAGCUUUCGAUGGUAGUAUAUGGGCCUACCAUGGCAGUAACGGGUAACGAAGAA
rnacentral:rRNA from 1 species